rnacentral:rRNA from 1 species
CCCUUAGAUGUUCUGGGCCGCACGCGCGCUACACUGACAGAGCCAGCGAGUCUACCACCUUUGCCGGAAGGCAUGGGUAAUCUUGUGAAACUCUGUCGUGAUGGGGAUAGAACAUUGCAAUUAUUGUUCUUCAACGAGGAAUACCUAGUAAGCGUGAUUCAUCAGAUCGCGUUGAUUACGUCCCUGCCCUUUGUACACACCGCCCGUCGCUACUACCGAUUGAAUGGCUUAGUGAGGCCUCCGGAUUGGCUAUUGGGAGCUCGCGAGAGCACCCGACUGCCGAGAAGUUGUACGAACUUGGUCAUUUAGAGGAAGUAAAAGUCGUAACA